rnacentral:miRNA from 1 species
UUUGCAAAUUUUGCAAAUUUUGUAUACUUUUGUAUUGCAUGCGAAAAUUGCAAUACAAAAUUAUACAAAAUUUGCAAACUUUGGAAAGCUAU